rnacentral:pre_miRNA from 1 species
CUUAUACCCUCUGCGUCCAACAAAAGAUUUCUCAAGUUUGUAAACAUUUAGAUGCAUAUAGACAUGACUUAGUGUAUAGAUGCAUUCAAAUUUAAUCAAAGUUGAGACAUUUUUUGUUCGACGGAGAAAGUAUUUU